rnacentral:rRNA from 1 species
UACGGAGGGAGCUAGCGUUAUUCGGAAUUACUGGGCGUAAAGCGCACGUAGGCGGCUUUGUAAGUUAGAGGUGAAAGCCUGGAGCUCAACUCCAGAAUUGCCUUUGAUACUGCAUGGCUUGAAUCCAGGAGAGGUGAGUGGAAUUCCGAGUGUAGAGGUGAAAUUCGUAGAUAUUCGGAAGAACACCAGUGGCGAAGGCGACUAACUGGACAUGUAUUGACGCUGAGGUGCGAAAGCGUGGGGGGCAAACAGG